rnacentral:lncRNA from 1 species
GGUUUAGUAAUAGUAAAAUAUAGUAACAAUAAGUUAAAGACAGCAUCUCAAAAAUGCCAGAGUGUGAAAGCUGUUACAGGACAGACUGCUCAUAUGGAAUGUGGUACACCUGUUAUGCUGAGCAUUACUUUUGCAAUGAGCAUGCUUUGAACAAGACCCACUGUCCAGUACACCCACGCUAUCCCAGAAGGACCUAAAAAACCCUUUCUCUUCUAUUUGAAAUUAUCAUUAACCACAUUUUUGCAUUUAGUUUAUCACAGACAAUAUACACUAACUUUAUAUUUUUGCUCCUUUUUUUUCUUUUUCCUGUAACAAAUAGAGUACCAAUAGCAGCAAUGAGGAGUGUGAUGGCUGUCAUAAAACCAGUCAGUGCCUCUCAUCAGGAGUAUUGUAUUUAUGUGGACACAAUCACAGACUAUGUGAAAACUGCUCCAAUAUGAGUACAUGCCCUGUACAUCAAAGAGACCGUAGAAAAA